GUAGAGCUUUGGAGGCGGAGAGUGAAAAUGGCGGCCUCCCAAUCUCUGCCCCGGAGGAGCAGAGAACUCGGGGCCCCGCUCCUCAGUGAGCCCCCAGAGAAAAGCCGUCAGUCACUCCUGUCUCCUUGGUCUCCGGCCACACUCCAUGCUCACCCGGCCUGUGACCGCGCGUUUCUAUCUCUGGCACCCGACACCAUGUGGAGUCUCCAAACCCAGCAGAUCCCUGCGGUGCGCUCCCACACCUCUCCUCCCGGGGGAAGAAGCCUGGCUGUCUUGCCUGCUCCCCACACCCUGUCAGGAGCAAGCCCUGUGGGAUUUACUGCGUGUCUCUUGAGGCUAGGUGUUGUGCUGGGCUCUGAGGACACAUCUGGAAGUAAAUCAGUCAUAACUUCUACCCUCACAGGACCCACAUGUUAGAGGGCCAGCAUACAUAGAAGAAAGCAAGGAGAAAAAAAUAAUCACACACCCUAAAAUGUGCACAGAGGGAAAGAAUGGGGUGACAUCCAGUGGUUUUGGAGCUGACUUCUCUCAGCUCACGAGAGACAACUGUUAAAAACUCAGGAGUUUCGUGAGCUGGGGGUUAAAUGCAGGCAUUAUGAAAAAUUAACUUGGGCAAAUUUACAAGGAAAUAAAUUAUGUUAAAAAUAAAAAAAAUAAAAUGCGU